rnacentral:misc_RNA from 1 species
GAUGAAGAACGUAGCGAAAUGCGAUAAGUAAUGUGAAUUGCAGAAUUCAGUGAAUCAUCGAAUCUUUGAACGCACAUUGCGCCCGCCAGUAUUCUGGCGGGCAUGCCUGUCUGAGCGUCAUUUCAACCCUCAUGCCCCUAGGGCGUGGUGUUGGGGAUCGGCCAAAGCCCGCGAGGGACGGCCGGCCCCUAAAUCUAGUGGCGGACCCGUCGUGGCCUCCUCUGCGAAGUAGUGAUAUUCCGCAUCGGAGAGCGAUGAGCCCCUGCCGUUAAACCCCCAACUUUCCAAGGUUGACCUCAGAUCAGGUAGGAAUACCCGCUGAACUUAAGCAUAUCAAUAAGCGGAGGGA